rnacentral:tRNA from 1 species
GCGGGGUAGCGUUGCUGCGGAGGUCUGGUGACUACCCAAAUGUGCUGGGAGCAGUGUAAGUUGCAGAAAGAGUUCCUUACCAAGAGCAGCGCUAGGGGUUCGAUUCCCCUACCCCGCA